UACGGGGGGGGGUAAGCGUUGUUCGGAAUUACUGGGCGUAAAGGGCUCGUAGGCGGCCAACUAAGUCGGACGUGAAAUCCCUCAGCUUAACUGGGGAACUGCGUCCGAUACUGGAUGGCUUGGAUUUGGGAGAGGGAUGCGGAAUUCCAGGUGUAGCGGUGAAAUGCGUAGAUAUCUGGAGGAACACCGGUGGCGAAGGCGGCAUCCUGGACCAAUAUUGACGCUGGGGAGCGAAAGCUAGGGGAGCAAACGGG
rnacentral:rRNA from 1 species